rnacentral:ribozyme from 12 species
AGAAAUACAAUGAAGUUCAGAAGAAGAAGAAACAAGAAACAAUAGAAAAUGCGGAGGUUGUAAUAUAGUUCAAUUAGAUUGGUAUUCUGUAUUUAUUU